UGGGCUAUCGCCAAGCGGUAAGGCACAGAACUUUGACUCCUGCAUUCGUUGGUUCAAAUCCAACUGGCCCAG
rnacentral:tRNA from 1 species